rnacentral:rRNA from 1 species
ACUGAACGCUGGCGGCAUGCCUUACACAUGCAAGUCGAACGGCAGCACGGGUGCUUGCACCUGGUGGCGAGUGGCGAACGGGUGAAUAAUACAUCGGAACGUACCUUAUCGUGGGGGAUAACGCAGCGAAAGCUGUGCUAAUACCGCAUACGCCCUGAGGGGGAAAGCGGGGGAUCGCAAGACCUCGCGCGAUUAGAGCGGCCGAUGCCUGAUUAGCUUGUUGGUGGGGUAAAAGCCCACCAAGGCGACGAUCAGUAGCUGGUCUGAGAGGACGAUCAGCCACACUGGGACUGAGACACGGCCCAGACUCCUACGGGAGGCAGCAGUGGGGAAUUUUGGACAAUGGGGGCAACCCUGAUCCAGCAAUGCCGCGUGAGUGAAGAAGGCCUUCGGGUUGUAAAGCUCUUUUGUCAGGGAAGAAACACCGGCUCUAACACAGUCCGGGAAUGACGGUACCUGAAGAAUAAGCACCGGCUAACUACGUGCCAGCCGCCGCCGUAA